GCUGCUUUGGCAGCAUGUGCACUAAAAUUGGAACAAUACACUAAAGAUUGGCAUGGCCCCUACACAGGCAUGACGUGCGUUUAUGAAGAAGUCCAUAUUUAA